rnacentral:rRNA from 1 species
UUGGAGGGCAAGUCUGGUGCCAGCAGCCGCGGUAAUUCCAGCUCCAAUAGCGUAUAUUAAAGUUGUUGCAGUUAAAAAGCUCGUAGUUGAAUUUCGGGAUUAGCAGGUCGGUCGUGCCACUGGUACGUACUGGUCUUGCUGAUUCCUCCCUCUUGACGAGCCGUAAUGCCAUUAAUUUGGUGUUGCGGGGAAUCAGGACUGUUACUUUGAAAAAAUUAGAGUGUUUAAAGCAGGCAUGCGCUUGAAUACAUUAGCAUGGAAUAAUGAAAUAGGACGUUCGAUCUUAUUUUGUUGGUUUCUAGGAUUGACGUAAUGAUUAAUAGGGAUAGUUGGGGGCAUUAGUAUUCAAUUGUCAGAGGUGAAAUUCUUGGAUUUAUUGAAGACUAACUACUGCGAAAGCAUUUGCCAAGGAUGUUUUCAUUAAUCAAGAACGAAAGUUAGGGGAUCGAAGACGAUCAGAUACCGUCGUAGUCUUAACUAUAAACUAUGCCGACUAGGGAUCGGAUGAUGUUAAUUUUUUAAUGACUCAUUCGGCGCCUUACGGGAAAC